rnacentral:rRNA from 1 species
GACAGAGGCCCCGAGCGUUAGGCGGAAUCACUGGGCUUAAAGCGUGUGUAGGCGGACCGGUAAGUACCUUGUGAAAUCCCACGGCUCACCCGUGGAACUGCUGGGUAUACUGCCGGUCUCGGGCCAACUAGGGGCAACUGGAACAAGCGGUGGAGCGGUGAAAUGCGUAGAUAUCAGGAGGAACACCUGUGGCGAAAGCGGCUCACUGGACCAUAACUGACGCUGAUGCACGAAAGCUAGGGGAGCAAACAGG